GCCCUUAGAGUUUGAUCAUGGCUCAGAACGAACGCUGGCGGCGCGUUUUAAGCAUGCAAGUCGAGCGGCAAGCGCGGGCUCUUCGGAGCCGGCGCCUAUAGCGGCGAACGGGUGAGUAACACGUACGUGAUCUGUCCUUGAGGUUGGGGAUAGCCUGUGGAAACAUGGGGUAAUACCGAAUGGCUCCCAUCUGCUGUGGCGGAUGGGGAAAGGUCCUUCGGGGCCGCCUUAGGGUGAGCCUGCGGCUCAUUAGCUUGUUGGUGGGGUAAGAGCCUACCAAGGCGACGAUGAGUAGCCGGCCUGAGAGGGUGAUCGGCCACAUUGGGACUGAAUAC
rnacentral:rRNA from 1 species